AACGAACGCUGGCGGCAUGCCUAACACAUGCAAGUCGAACGAGACCUUCGGGUCUAGUGGCGCACGGGUGCGUAACGCGUGGGAACCUGCCCUUAGGUUCGGAAUAACUCCCCGAAAGGGGUGCUAAUACCGGAUAAUGUCUUCGGACCAAAGAUUUAUCGCCUUUGGAUGGGCCCGCGUUGGAUUAGCUAGUUGGUAGGGUAAAAGCCUACCAAGGCGACGAUCCAUAGCUGGUCUGAGAGGAUGAUCAGCCACACUGGGACUGAGACACGGCCCAGACUCCUACGGGAGGCAGCAGUGGGGAAUAUUGGACAAUGGGCGAAAGCCUGAUCCAGCAAUGCCGCGUGAGUGAUGAAGGCCUUAGGGUUGUAAAGCUCCUUUAACCGGGAUGAUAAUGACAGUACCGGGAGAAUAAGCUCCGGCUAACUCCGUG
rnacentral:rRNA from 1 species